CCUACGGGUGGCAGCAGUGGGGAAUAUUGGGCAAUGGGCGCAAGCCUGACCCAGCAAAGCCGCGUGAAGGAAGAAGGCUCUCGGGUUGUUAACUUUUUUUUUCAGGGACGUAGCAAGUGACGGUACCUGAGGAAUAAGCCACGGCUAACUACGUGCCAGCAGCCGCGGCAAUACGUAGGUGGCAAGCGUUAUCCGGAUUUACUGGGUGUAAAGGGCGUGUAGGCGGGAAAGCAAGUCAGGUGUGAAAACCAUGGGCCCAACCUGUGGUCUGCAUUUGAAACUGGUUUUCUUGAGUACUGGAGAGGCAGACGGAAUUCCUCGUGUAGCGGUGAAAUGCGUAGAUAUGACGAAGAACACCGAUGGCGAAGGCAGUCUGCGGGACAGCAACUGACGCUGAGGCGCGAAAGCGUGGGGAGCAAACAGGAUUAGAUACCCUUGUAGUC
rnacentral:rRNA from 1 species